UACGAAGGGGGCGAGCGUUGUUCGGAAUUACUGGGCGUAAAGGGCGCGCAGGCGGCUCUGAAAGUCAGAUGUGAAAGCCCCGGGCUUAACCUGGGAAUUGCAUUUGAUACUCUGGAGCUUGAGUGUGGGAGAGGAGAGUGGAAUUCCCAGUGUAGAGGUGAAAUUCGUAGAUAUCGGGAGGAACACCAGUGGCGAAGGCGGCGACCUGGGCCAAUAUUGACGCUGAGGUGCGAAAGCGUGGGGAGCAAACAGG
rnacentral:rRNA from 1 species